rnacentral:rRNA from 1 species
GACAGAGGUGGCGAGCGUUGUUCGGAAUCACUGGGCUUAAAGGGCGAGUAGGCGGUAGAGCAAGUCUGAUGUGGAAUCUUAGGGCUUAACCCUAAAACUGCAUUAGAAACUGUUUUACUUGAGUCAGUGAGGGGAGGGCGGAAUUCCUGGUGUAGCGGUGAAAUGCGUAGAUAUCAGGAGGAAGGCCUGUGGCGAAGGCGGCCCUCUGGCACUGUACUGACGCUGAGGCGCGAAAGCGUGGGGAGCAAAC